rnacentral:rRNA from 1 species
GAUGAACGCUAGCGACAGGCUUAACACAUGCAAGUCGAGGGGCAGCGGGGUGUGGCAACACAUUGCCGGCGACCGGCGCACGGGUGAGUAACGCGUAUGCAACUUGCCUAUCAGAGGGGGAUAACCCGGCGAAAGUCGGACUAAUACCGCAUAAAACAGGGGUUCCGCAUGGGGAUAUUUGUUAAAGAUUCAUCGCUGAUAGAUAGGCAUGCGUUCCAUUAGGCAGUUGGCGGGGUAACGGCCCACCAAACCGACGAUGGAUAGGGGUUCUGAGAGGAAGGUCCCCCACAUGGGUACUGAGACACGGACCAAACUCCUACGGGAGGCAGCAGUGAGGAAUAUUGGUAAAUGGCCGGGAGGCUGAACCAGGCAAGUCGCGUGGAGGACGAAGGUCCUAUGGAUUGUAAACUUCUUUUGUGCGGGAAUAAAGUCGGGGACGCGUCCCCGUUUGCAUGUACCGCGCGAAUAAGCAUCGGCUAACUCCGUGCCAGCCGCCGCCGUAA